rnacentral:lncRNA from 1 species
AACGAAGAAGGAGAAGAUGAUCCUGAAGGAGAAGAAGCAGAACCUGAGCGUUUAAGGAAAUAUUAAGCAUAUAAUUGUAUAUAGUUAUUUAGUAUAUACAGCUGUAAUUAUGUAUAGUAUAAAUACUCUUUGUACAGUACAUUUUCAGAUUAAUGAGAAAUUAUCUUCUUCUUUAUCUCUUAAUCUAAUAUGGUAUCAGAGCUUAUUCUUCCUUCCGCAACAAGAUUUCUCAUUCAGAUCCUCAUCAUCGAGCUUCGAUCUCCAUGAUCUGAGCUCAUUUUUCUUCUUCUUGACCUUCGUUUAUCAUAGAUCGGGCUUUGUUUCAUCUUUUUUGAGCUCCGAUUGCUCUUUUUCAUCUUCUGUUGCUCGCGUGUUUCUGGUUUCGUUUCAAUGGCGGCUCCGACUCGCGAUUCUUAUGACAAUCCUUAUUUUCUCACUAAUAAUGAUCAUUCCGGUUUGGUUUUGGUCUCCGAUCGUCUCACCGGAGCUGGUGAUUUUGGUUCGUGGCAUCAAUCGAUGAUUAUGGCGCUAAAUGGACGUAAUAAACUCUGUUUUGUUGAUGGUAGUCUCCCGAAGCCAGAUGAUGCUAAUCGUGAUGCUGCGGCCUGGUCCAGAGUUAACGAUGUGGUACGUUCUUGGUUGAUGAACUCCGUUUCUAAAACAAUUGGUCAGAGUGUGUUGUAUGUGAAAACUGCUCAUGGAAUUUGGCAAAAGCUACUACAACGUUUUAAGCAGAAUAAUGUCCCUCGCCUUUAUCGGAUUGAACAGAAACUUGCAGGUCUUCGUCAAGGAUCCAUGGAUGUUAAUACUUUUUACACCAAAUUAGUCACCAUUUGGGAAGAAGUUAAGAGUGCACAGGAUUUUCCUGUUUGUCAAUGUGGUGGUUGUGAGUGUGAAAUUGAUCGCAAAUGGAUGGAUUUGUUUGAAAGGAACUUUGUGAUUAAGUUUCUCUUUGGUUUAAAUGAUUCUUAUGAACAUGUCAGAGAGUCAAUUGUGAUGAAAGAUCCUUUACCAGACUUGGAAAAGACAUUGAACUUGGUUAUUCAGCAUGAGCAUCAGCAGGAAAUCAAGCAAGUACCUCAGUCUGGUUCAGUGGUGUUUCAAAUGAGUUCUCAAAAUUCUCAGCCUUCUUUUGAUUCAAAUUAUCAGGCUCCAGUUCCUGACAAUUGUUCAGGAUAUAAUGAAGUUGUGGGUGCUGUUUCAGGAGGAUUCAAGCCUAGGCAGAGACCAGUGUGUACCUACUGUGGUUUACAAGGACACAUUGUUACUAAAUGUUACAAACUGCAUGGUUACCCUCCUGGUUACAAGACAUCUGCUCAAUCUUAUGGAAAUCAACAAAAUUUUGGAUCUUCUUCUCAGUCUUAUGGAGUACCACAGAAUGCUCCUUCUGUUUUCGCUCCUAAACAGUUUCAGCCGCGUCCUCCUGUUUCCUCUUCACAGCAACAAUUUGGACAACAAUUUAACAAUCAGCCAAGGAUGCCUAAUCCAAAAGGUUCCAGAGAUAAUGUCGUUGGCAAUGUUAUUACGAAUUCUCCUGCAGUUCAAGAUCAUUUUCAUCAGGUCUCAAAUGCAUUGGCUCAAUUAUCUCCAGAACAAAUUGAACAGUUGGCUUCUCAACUUACCAAUAAAGCUAGUUGUCAGAUGCCAAGUAUAAAUGAGUCUCCUGGUGUCAAUUAUGCCUCUACAUCUGCAGGUAAUCUCAUUUGCACAACACUAAAGGAAUCCUGCCUUAAUUUUACUGCUUGGAUUAUUGAUUCUGGAGCAACAACACAUGUUUGUUGCAACUUAGGUUUGUUUGCUGAUAUUAAUAGUAUCUCUGAAACCACUGUUAAACUACCAAACAGUACUCAGAUUAUUAUAAAUCAAUCUGGUACUGUUAGGCUAUCUGAUAAACUUCUUCUUCAUAAUGUUCUUUUUGUUCCUUCUUUUCAUCUCAAUCUUAUUAGUGUAAGCUCCCUUCUUCAAGAAUGUGCAUACUCUGUUAAUUUCUUUCCUUCCUUUUGCACUAUUCAGGAGUUUACUCGGGGCUUGAUGAUUGGUAAAGGUCGGUUACAAAAUAAACUCUACUUUCUGGAUUUAGAGUCUUCACCAUCAUCACAGUCUCCAUCUUCAUCUCUUAUUUGCAAUCUCUCUGUUCCUGAGUCUAGUUCUCUUUGGCAUUCAAGGCUUGGUCAUCCAUCUUUCCCUAAGAUUCAAGUUUUAGCUGAAGAUCUCUCUAUUUCUAAAGCAAAGCUCAAAGACUGGUCCCAUUGCAAGACUUGUCAUUUAGCUAAACAAAAACGUUUAUCUUUUCCUUCUCUUAAUAAUCUUUCUCAGAAACCUUUUGAUCUUGUUCACAUGGAUGUUUGGGGUCCUUUCUCUGUUAUUUCUCAUGAAGGUUUUCGAUAUUUUCUUACUCUUGUCGAUGAUUGUACUCGUGUCACUUGGAUUUAUCUCUUGAAAAAUAAAAAUGAUGUUUUACAAGUUUUUCCUUCUUUUCUCAAUUCUAUUGAAACACAACAUGCUACUAAAGUAAAGGCUAUUCGUUCUGAUAAUGCUCCUGAAUUAUCUUUUACAUCACUUCUUCAAUCUGAAGGCAUCUUUCACUACUUUUCUUGUGUUGAUACACCACAACAAAAUUCUGUGGUAGAAAGAAAACAUCAACAUAUUCUAAAUGUUGCUAGAGCACUUCUUUUUCAAUCAAAUCUUCCUACUACAUAUUGGAGUGAAUGUAUAAGAACUUCUGUUUAUCUCAUUAACAGAACUCCUUCUCCUUUAUUGCAAAACAAAACUCCUUAUGAUCUUCUCAUGAACAAAAAGCCUAAAUACUCUCAUUUAAAAAAUUUUGGUUGCCUUUGUUAUGCCUCUACUUAUCCAAAGGAUAGAAACAAAUUUUCUCCUCGAGCAGAAGCUUCUGUUUUUAUUGGCUAUCCCUCUGGUUACAAGGGCUAUAAAGUCCUCAAUCUUGAAACUCACUCAAUCUCUAUUUCCAGAAAUGUCAUUUUUCAUGAAGACAUAUAUCCUUUUCAGUCUUCUGAGCUUCCUUCUUCUACUUUAGAUCUUUUCUCCCCAAGCAUUCUUCCUCUUCCUAUCCCAGAUACAUCUCUUUCACCUCCUAUUUCCAUUUCUUCUGAAGUUUUAUCAAAUAGUAGUGGUUCUUCAGGGGAGUCAGAGAAUACUAUUCCUGUUAAUGCAAACAGGCCUAAGAGAAAUACUCGUGUGCCAUCAUACCUUUCGGAUUAUCACUGCAAUUUGGUUCAGAAUAUACCAACUCCCAGUGGUAAUACAGCCCAUCCUUUGUCAUCUGUUAUUGACUACUCGAAGCUGAAUCUGCACUAUCAGCAGUUUAUACUGAACAUUUCAACAGAGUCAGAACCAAAGACUUUUCUUGAAGCUGUCAGAUCUGAAAAAUGGCAUGCACCUAUGAAUGAAGAACUUCAGACUUGUGUUGAUACAGGCACUUUCUCUGUUGUCUCUUUACCUGAAGGGAAACAGCCUAUAGGUUGCAGAUGGGUAUAUCGCAUUAAGCAUAAUGCUGAUGGAACAGUUGACAGAUACAGAGCCCGUUUGGUAGCAAAAGGUUUCACACAGCAAGAGGGUGUGGAUUAUAUUGACACAUUUUCUCCAGUCGCUAAGCUUGUUACUGUCAAGUUACUACUGGACUUAGCUGCUAAACAUGGUUGGUCUCUGACUCAAAUGGAUGUUACCAACGCUUUUUUACAUGGAGAUUUAGAAGAAGAGAUAUAUAUGGACUUGCCUCCGGGUUAUACUCCACCACCAGGUCAAGUACUUCCUCCAAAUGCUGUCUGGAAACUUCAUAAAUCUCUGUAUGGCCUCAAGCAGGCUUCUAGGCAAUGGAACAAGAAAUUCUCUGAAGUACUGUUGAGAGAUGGCUUUGUUCAAUCAGAGUCUGAACAUACCUUGUUUGUCAAAUGUGUCAACCAUACUUUUAUUGCUUUAUUAGUAUAUGUUGAUGACAUUUUGAUUGCAAGUAAUAGUGACAUGGCUGUAUCUGAUCUCAAGGCCAUUUUAGCUGCUUCUUUCAAAAUCAAGGACCUAGGUCCUGCCAAGUACUUUCUUGGUCUUGAGAUAGCACGAAAUCAGUCAGGGAUCUCUGUGUGUCAACGUAAAUACGCUCUUGACUUGUUGGAUAGUGUUGGUCUUCUUGGCAGUAAACCAGUUGCUACACCAAUGGAUUCAACGAUUCAGUUAACUACAGAGAGUGGGGAUCUAUUACCUGAUGCUACUGUUUAUCGAGCUCUCAUUGGUAAACUUCUAUAUCUUACUAUAACCAGGGCUGAUAUUAGUUUUGCAGUUCACAAAUUGAGCCAGUUUUUGGCUCAACCAAGGACUGAUCAUCUUGCUGCAGCUCACCGUAUAGUCAGAUAUUUAAAGGGUGAUCCAGGCAGAGGUCUUUUCUAUUCUGUUCAGUCUGAGAUCAGGCUGCAGGCUUUCUCAGAUUCUGAUUGGGGCACAUGUCAAGAUACCAGAAGAUCUACUACAGGUUACUGUGUUUUUCUUGGCAAUUCUCUGAUCUCCUGGAAAGCCAAGAAACAACAAACUGCUUCCAGAAGUAGUGCUGAAGCUGAAUACAGGGCCUUAGCAGACACAACUUGUGAACUUCUUUGGUUAAGCCAACUUCUCAGAGAUCUUCACAUCAAGGUUACUGGUCCUGCAAACCUUUACUGUGACAGCACUGCAGCGAUACAUAUUGCUUCAAACUCAGUCUUUCAUGAACGCACCAAACACAUAGAAAUAGAUUGCCACAUUGUUCGUGAUCGGUUGCGAGCUGGAUUUCUGAACUUGCUCCAUGUGACUACAGAUAAUCAGCUUGCCGAUUUGUUCACAAAAGCUUUGCCUCCAAAGACAUUCAAGAUGCUCAUGUCUCGUUAUGCUUUCUCAAGUCUCUUUCUUCCGGCUUGAAGACUUCGACUUGAGGGAGGGUAUUAAGCAUAUAAUUGUAUAUAGUUAUUUAGUAUAUACAGCUGUAAUUAUGUAUAGUAUAAAUACUCUUUGUACAGUACAUUUUCAGAUUAAUGAGAAAUUAUCCUCUUCUUUAUCUCUUAAUCUAAUAGGAAACUGUCCAAAAGCUUGUAACGGCUUAAACACGAGACGGAAAAUGGCGGAGAAAGGAGUAGCAGCGGCGACGGAUCGAGGUUUAUCGGAGAGGAGAGAGGAAGAAUCGUCGUGUAAAAUAACGCAAUCGACACGAACGACGACAUUCUCGACUUGAGGGAUUAAGGAAUGGAAUCUUUUGGAGACGACGGAGCAACGACCUAAGGCUUUGACGUCGCCGAUGUUGUUGACGAUGAGGAGGAGGAUUGAGUCAGGGAGGUGAUCGAAGUGGUCGAUUUGUUGUGGUUGGGGAUGGAUUCGAGAGAGGAGUGGAUCUUAUGAACGGAGAAUUAUCGCCAUUGAUGAGAGAAUUCAGAUCUUUGAGAAGAGAAGAAGAUAACGCUUAGAGAGAGAGAAACGAAUCUAAAGGAGGAAGAGUAUACGGUGCAUAAUCGCAAAGGAGGUCCUAAAUGGCAUGAUUGUAAAUAAAAUAGUUUGUCGAGGGUUUGGAAGUCACCCAAACAGUAGUGCAUAGUAAAACAUGUGGAUUUUUCCAAUUGUAAAUAGUCUCUGUACUACUUUCCCUAUUAUGUUUCACAUAAACGUACUAAUUUGCAACAUAUCUC